CAGACGAACGUGUGUGACUCGCUGAUGGCCAACAGUAAUGGGACAGUGGCUUGGCUUUCCAAAGUGUCAGGAGGGCUGCUACAACUGAGGGAUGACGCAGACGGGAGUCUGGAGGUGACGCAGCUGUGACGUCAUCACUGCCGGAUGACGUCAUCACUUCUUGCCGACAUGUCGAUAUAGCAGACGACACUGUGACGUCAUCACUUCCGACGACAUGUAGAUCAUAUAUCACAACAGACGACCGCUUCCAUUUUUUUCCCUCUCCAAUUUAUAAAUUGUCUGAUAAAGUUUGAUGAGAAAUCAUA